rnacentral:ncRNA from 1 species
ACCUGAGCUUCCAUUUCACGGUCAGACAGGCCACCGCAGAUUUGGAUAAUACGGUCAGACAGCGUCGAUUUACCGUGGUCAAUGUGAGCAAUGAUCGAAAAGUUACGUAUGUUCUUCAUAGAGAUAAAUUAUUAUGCCUUACGCCUGGUUGACCAGACUUUAGAGGUCGCUGUUCUGAGCUUAACGUCUGUUUUAACUGAAACGCCGCAUUCUACACUACAACGCUAAGGCGAGCUGAAACUGUUCAUAGUGUACGGAGAGCGGGAACUGGAAAACGCCUCGCUUUUUUCCUGUAAAACACCGCAACGCAGGAAAAGCGCAUGCUUAUCGGGACAACAACCCAACGCGGCAGGUGUACCGUUGGGCAAAACGUUUACUGGCGCGUUUCGAUUGAGGUAGUUUCGACGCGAACAAGGUCCGGCGGGAGGGCAACGUUUAAAAUCACCGGCUGCCAGGCGUCGCGCUCCGACAGUUUUCGGGAAUAGCCGCGGGCAACCAGAAAACCGCCCACGCCGCCCAGCACGGCCCCGCUUAAUGCGGCAAGGUCAGAUCCAAACAGCAUCUGAAA